rnacentral:lncRNA from 1 species
UUCAAACCCUGCAAACUGCCUUGUCCGAAACAGUAAAGCUAAACAAUCUGUUCUCAAAUGUCAGGGGCUCCAACAAUAUUGUUGAGAAACAGAGAGGAACAAUCCAAGAUUGCAGAGAGCUACACCAAAUCACAUUAUCUUCUUUACAGAGAUCCAUGUCGAGGGUCCGUUCCGGUACUGAUUCAAGAAAGAUGGCAGAUGCAAGAGCUUACCUCAGUGCUGCUCUUACGAACAAGAACACGUGUCUAGAAGGGCUAAACACUGCUUCUGGUCCACUCAAGCCCACCUUGGUUAACGCUGUGAUUAAUACUUACAAGCACGUUAGCAACUCUCUUUCUGUUCUGGCCAAGCAAGUUCCUAAACACGGCCAUAAACAGCGCCGUCUCUUGGGAUUCCCGAGCUGGAUGUCGAAGAAAGAUCGCCGGAUUUUGCAGGUCUCCGGCGACGAAUAUGACCCGAGUGAGGUCAUUACCGUGGCCGCAGAUGGAACAGGAAACUUCACUACAAUCACUGAUGCCAUAAAUUUUGUUCCUAAUAAUAGUUACGACAACAGAAUUAUUAUAUAUAUUAGAGAAGGUACAUACAACGAGAACGUGGAUAUACCCAGCUAUAAGCCCAACGUCGUUCUGCUCGGAGAUGGAAGUGACGUCACUUUUAUCACAGGUAACCGGAGCGUGGAUGACGGCUGGACUACUUUCAGAUCUGCAACCGUCGGUAAAGUUCCAAACUUUAACUUGAUUCUCACAUUUCUUUUAUUAGCAUGAACAGCCAAUUAGUUUCCUAAUCUGAACAAAAACACAAUCUUACAUGGUUUUAUCAUCUUUUUCUUUUUUCGACGUUAAAACAGCGGUGUCUGGUGAAGGCUUUCUGGCACGAGAUAUAACCUUUGAAAACACGGCAGGACCAGAGAAACAUCAAGCAGUUGCAUUAAGAGUAAAUGCAGACUUAGUAGCUUUAUACAUGUGCAGCGUCAAUGGCUUCCAAGACACUCUCUACGUUCACUCAUUUAGACAAUUCUACCGCGAGUGUGACAUAUCUGGAACAAUAGACUACAUAUUUGGAAACGCUGCAGUUGUCUUUCAAGCUUCCAAUAUCAUAUCAAGAAUGCCGUUACCUGGGCAGUUUACAGUCAUAACAGCUCAAUCCCGAGACACCCCAGAUGAGGAAACUGGAAUUUCAAUACAAAACUGUUCGAUUGUAG